GACCUGCCCACUGAAAAUUUUUAAAUGGCCGCAGUAUACUAACUGUGCAAAGGUAGCAUAAUCAUUAGUCUUUUAAUUGAAGGCUGGUAUGAAUGGUUGGACGAGAUAUUAACUGUUUCAUAAAAAUUUAUAAUAGAAUUUUAUUUUUUAGUCAAAAAGCUAAAAUUUAUUUAAAAGACGAGAAGACCCUAUAAAUCUUUAUAUUUAUUUAAUUAUAAUUUUUUAGAUUAAUUUUAUUAUAAUUAUUGAUAAUAUUUUAUUGGGGUGAUAUUAAAAUUUAAUAAACUUUUAAUUUUAAAUAGACAUUAAUUUAUGUAUAAUUGAUCCGUUAUUAACGAUUAUAAAAAUAAGUUACUUUAGGGAUAACAGCGUAAUUUUUUUGGAGAGUUCAUAUCGAUAAAAAAGAUUGCGACCUCGAUGUUGGAUUAAGAUAUAAUUUUAGGUGUAGCCGCUUAAAUUUUAAGUCUGUUCGACUUUUAAAUUCUUACAUGAUCUGAGUUCAAACCGGUGUAAGCCAGGUUGGUUUCUAUCUUUAAAAA
rnacentral:rRNA from 1 species